rnacentral:rRNA from 1 species
GACGAACGCUGGCGGCGUGCUUAACACAUGCCAGUCGAACGGUGAAGCGCCUUCCUUUUUCGUGGGUGUGGAUGAGUGGCGAACGGGUGAGUAACACGUGAGUAACCUGCCCCCUUCUUCUGGAUAACCGCAUGAAAGUGUGGCUAAUACGGGAUAUUCUGGGUCUGUCGCAUGAUGGGUCUGGGAAAGAUAUUGUUUCGGUGGGGGAUGGGCUCGCGGCCUAUCAGCUUGUUGGUGGGGUGAUGGCCUACCAAGGCGGUGACGGGUAGCCGGCCUGAGAGGGUGGACGGUCACACUGGGACUGAGACACGGCCCAGACUCCUACGGGAGGCAGCAGUGGGGAAUAUUGCACAAUGGGCGCAAGCCUGAUGCAGCGACGCCGCGUGAGGGAUGGAGGCCUUCGGGUUGUGAACCUCUUUCGCCAGUGAAGCAGGCCUGCCUCGUUUGUGGGUGGGUUGACGGUAGCUGGAUAAGAAGCGCCGGCUAACUACGUG